GCUCUGGUGGCCUAGUGGUUAGAGCGUGCACCUAAGAUGCGGGAAGUCAUGGGUUCGAUCCCCGGUCAAGUCA